CUCAACCGGGGAACGGCGCAUGAAACUGGCGAACUAGAGUACGGAAGAGGGAGGUGGAAUUCCAGGUGUAGCGGUGAAAUGCGUAGAUAUCUGGAGGAACACCGGUGGCGAAGGCGGCCUCCUGGUCCGAUACUGACGCUGAGACGCGAAAGUGUGGGUAGCGAACAGGAUUAGAUACCCUGGUAGUCCACGCUGUAAACGAUGGGCACUAGGUGUCCGGGGUAUUGACCCCCUGGGUGCCGCAGUUAACGCAUUAAGUGCCCCGCCUGGGAACUACGGUCGCAAGACUAAAACUCAAAGGAAUUGACGGGGGCCCGCACAAGCGGUGGAGCAUGUGGUUCAAUUCUACGCAACGCAAAGAACCUUACCUGGGCUAGACAACGGUGGACCGCCCCAGAGAUGGGGUUUUCCC
rnacentral:rRNA from 1 species